rnacentral:rRNA from 1 species
UCCUACGGGAGGCAGCAGUAAGGAAUAUUCUACAAUGAGCGAAAGCUUGAUGGAGCGACACAGAGUGCAGGAUGAAGUCUUUAGGGAUGUAAACUGCUGUUGUAAGGGAAGAAAAAACUAGAUAGGAAAUGAUUUAGUCUUGACGGUACCUUAUUAGAAAGUGACGGCAAACUAUGUGCCAGCAGCCGCGGUAAUACAUAGGUCGCAAGCGUUAUCCGGAAUUAUUGGGCGUAAAGCGUCCGCAGGUUUUUUGUUAAGUUUAAGGUUAAAUGCUAAAGCUCAACUUUAGUUCGCUUUAGAUACUGACAAAAUAGAAUUAUGAAGAGGUUAGCGGAAUUCCUAGUGGAGCGGUGGAAUGCGUAGAUAUUAGGAAGAACACCAAUAGGCGAAGGCAGCUAACUGGUCAUAUACUGACACUAAUGGACGAAAGCGUGGGGAGCAAACAGGAUUAGAUACCCUGGUAGUCC